GACGAACGCUGGCGGCGUGCUUAACACAUGCAAGUCGAACGGAAAGGCCCUGAUUUUGUGGGGUGCUCGAGUGGCGAACGGGUGAGUAACACGUGAGUAACCUGCCCUUGAAUUUGGGAUAACUUCAGGAAACUGGGGCUAAUACCGGAUAGGAGCUCCUGCUGCAUGGGGGGGGUUGGAAAGUUUCGGCCGUUGGGGAUGGAUUCGCGGCUUAUCCGCCUGUUGGUGGGGUAGGGGAUUACCAAGGUUUUGAGUGGUAGGCGGCCUUGGAGGGUGACCGGCGACAUUGGGACUACGAGAGGCCCCAGUAGCCUACGGGAGGCAGCAGGGGGGAACAUUGCGGAAUGGGCGGAAGCCUGAUGCAGCAACGCCGGGUGCGGGAUGACGGCCUUCGGGUUGUAAACCGCUUUCGCCGGUGACGAAGCGUUAUUGACGGUAAUGAGUAAAGAAGCACCGGCUAACUACGUG
rnacentral:rRNA from 1 species